UCGGCCGUGCCAUUUUCUCAGACUUUCCUUGUUUAUGAGGAUCUUGACAGUGUUGAAGAGUACCAGUCAGGGAUGUCGUAGGAUGCCCUCUUGCAACUGGUCUGCUCUUUUUUCUCCUGAUUAGACUGGGGUUAUGGGUUUGGGGUAGGGAGAUUACCAAGGCAAAGUGCUGUUGUCCUCCUAUAUCGUGGACUGUCACCAUGCUUUGUGACUGGUAGUGGUGACCUUGAUUACCUGGCCUAAGGAAUAUUUAGAAGUUACUCCUCCCUCUAAGCCCCCACACUGAACACUUUGGACAGAAGUCACCGUGCACAGCCCACACUGAGGGCGUGGGGAGUGCUGCUCUCCCUUCGUUUAUUUGCGAGCUGGCCAGGAAAUGAGGGGCCUGUGGUUGGAAAGAAGGGAAGUGGAGUCCUUGGCUUAGAAUGCCAGGAGCAUGCCUCUUUCUUAAAAACCCUCCCUUGACUCUGCUAUUUCACAGUAAAAUUUCCCAGAAGAGAUGUCUUCAUUUCAUGCUCUUUCACUCUAUUUUUAAAUUUAAUAAUAGUUUUUCCAACACAAAAAGUUAUAAAACUUACAAUGAGCACUUGUUUACCCACCACCCGGCUUAAGUAGAACAUGGCCACUGCUGUCGAAGUUCCUUCUCCAUUUACAUCUACUUUCUUUCUGGCCUUUCCAUGUGUCCCUUCCUAAAUUUACUACAUAUUUGUCCUUCUAAUAUAGUAUUGUUGCGUGUGCUCCUGAACUAGAUGAAUGAUGCCAUCCUUAUGUGGCGUGCUGCAGCUAACUGCUUUUCCUCCAACAAGAUUCAUUCAUGUUUGGUUUAUGUAGCUCAAGUACUGCUAUGUAUUCAAUGACUGACAAUUUUAUAGUUGAUGGACAUUUAUUUCCGCUUUUUGCCAUUAGUAACAGUGUUGCUGCGACCACUCGUCUUCUCGACCACACAAGUGUUCUCGUGCACCUGAGAGUUUCUCUGGGGCAGUGGUUGCCCUUCACCCUAGCUGCACAGAAGAAUCACUCGGAGCGCCUUUCAAAAACACCAAUGUUGAUUUAGUUGGUCUGGGGUGGGACUAGGGCGUCAAUUUUGUUUGGUUUUGCAUUCCCCUCAGGUGAUUCUAAUGUGCAUCUGUAGUUGAAAACCACUCCUCUAGGAGCGGAUUUUAGGGUAAUUGCAUCUUUACAACACAAUCAAUCUCCUAAGUGGUUGUACCAGUGCACAUUUCCACUAGUAGUGUGGGUGAGUUUUGUUCCACAUUCUUGCUAACAUUUGGUUUUAUCAAGCUGAAGGGAGUGAAAUGGCAUCUCAUUGUGGUUUCAAUUCUCAUUUCCCUGAUGACUGGGGAAGUGCAGUGUCCUCUCCCAUGUUUAUCAGCCAUUCUAGUAUCCUCUUUGGUGAAUAACCUGUUUGACUAUUUUCUCAUGGGCUGUUCGCAUUUCUCUUAGUGACUUUUAGAAAUUCUUUAUCCUGGAUAUUAAUAUUAGUGGACAGGCAGGUUCAGAGGGUUCUCUUUAUCAAGAUACUGUGCAACGUGAGCAGAUUUUCAAUAGCAGAGUCCAUGCGCUCCAUCGUAGCUAUUGAACUUUUCUCCCUAAAAGACCAUGGGGGCUCAAAUUCUAUCGCUACGACUUCUGAACUUGAUUUCCAUUCUUUUGUGUAUUAGAGUGGGCUGUUACUUUAUGAUUCCUCAAUAUUUGAAGCUUUAGUCAGAUAAAUGAAUGGUUAAGUUAAAUUUGAAGUUAACACCUGAAUUUCAGCCUCUAAGGGUACUUCACUGAGUUCAUCAUGCAUAGGGCUCCCAUGUUACAGUACAGUAAAGCCCGCCCCGUUAAUUCAGACUUGACUCAUUUGGACUUUGAAUGCUUAGACAGAGUAGAAGUUAACUUGGCGCUUUUAUGUAAAGAAUAGGUGUCUUAAAUAAACGUGUUAAAAAAUGGAGGGUAGGAUAUUUAAGCUGCAUGCUGAAGUAGACUGUUUUCAAGUUGCCUUAAGCACUUGAAGAGAAUUCCCACGCUCAUUCAAGUAAUCGAUGUGGCUCUUUCCUGUGUAGCCCUCUAAAGAAUUAGUCCAGCACCCAUUGUGUGCACCACACAGACAGAGGCUCUGGAUCACUUCUCUAUUAUACCUAACUAUCAUAAUUCAGGCUUUCUUCCAUUUGUCCAGAUUUAGUAAUGAACAAAACCGAAUGGAUUACACUAGCCUGAUUAACUGCUGCCCGGUCCAUGGCUAGGAACUCAUGAGUUGAGCUUUUUCUCUUAAGGUUCUCUUCUCUGUCUGCUGAAGGAAAGGUUUCAGCUCCUCAGGGUCCUUAUUAGAAAGCUCUUGCCAUUUUACAGUGCAAAUCUCUUCCAUUUAAGUACACCACCAAUUAAUUUCUAUGGCAACACAGUUGGAUGUGUAAGCGCAGUGCCUACUGGUAAAGUGCCGAAGGUAAGAGGCCCUAAAACGUAAUCACACACAGGAGUAAAAGACUAGCCCUUGGAGACCUAACACCCCCUGCACAGGGCAAGAGCGUGCCUCGCGCCAGAGAAGGAGGCUGCUGCCCCUGCGGCUGCGUGCGAAGCACUUAGAGAUUUCCAUUCGAGCUCUGUUAGCUCACUCACCUGCAGCAGUGCUUUGAAGUUGGGCUAUUUUGCCAACUCAGUACCCACCUUGUUUCCUCAAAAGUUUUCAGUUUCAGGGUGACUCCAACACAACCCUUCCUUGGAUUGCCCACAGACUGACCACCAGUUCAAGAGCGAUCAAGUUAGAAAGAUCUACACUUAGACUCUGAUGGAAGAGAAGCAACAGUUGUCCAAUGUCAAGGUUCUGAGGUUGCAGGCAACUGUUAGAAAUAAAGUUUUUCUUUACUUUGUCUACAUUUUUUAAAAAAAUCUUCUCUCACCCUGACUCUAGAACCAAUACAAGAAUGUCUUAGGUCAUGGGAUGUGCUGAGUCAAAGCCACGCCUGCGACCUCUGCCACCAGCAGACCACCCAGGGAAGUGACGCCCCAGGACAGUUGGGCAGAGUCCAGGUCCUUGCCUGGCCUCUCAACAGUGGGGACUAGACUCUUGCUCCUGGGGUCCCAGCCUGUGCUGAGGUAGGUAGGUGCCCAUGGAGAGUGGUGGGUGCUCACAGCAGCAAAGCUCGCCUUGUGGGUAAUUAGUAAACGUUUAAGGAAAAUGAGUUCUUGUCUCCUCUAUCCACAAGUCAUUCCAAAGGAUGUGAUGUCCUUGUGUAAUCCAAGUCCCCACACCCUAUGUAGUCUUCCCUCAUUGGCCCCAAAUCAUAACCCUUAGAACUAGAAGGUCCUUAUCCACGUUUCUGGCAUGGGAAUCAUUUCUAUAACAUGGUCAUCUAGCUCCUGCUUGAAUACCUCCAUGACAGGGACCUCACUACUUCAUUUCAGGCUUUGCCACUGUUGGUGAUUUGCCACAGUGACUGCUUUGUUAGCAAUAGUUUGUCCCUGGUGUCUCUUCCCAACUAGAGUGUGGAAACUAUGGGAGGAAAAAUAAUCUCUUCAUUUGUUACUGUUAAUAUUUAACUGAAAAUUAGUCAGGCACAAUACACAAAACACUUACUGAUCCAUCUUUUCCUUUCACUCAACAAAUAGUCAUUUAGCAUUUUCCAUGCGCCAGGCACUCUUCUGGGUACUCAGAAUCAGUCCGUGACCAAGACAAAGUUGUUGGCUAUCUCCGAGCUAACAUUCCAAAGAGGGGAAUAAGAAAACAAAUAAUAUAAUUUUAGACGGUCAUAAAUGCUAUGGAGAAAGUCAAGCCAGGUACGUGGAGAACAUGCGAUGGGAGGAGCCGUGUGAGAGAGGUGGUGGGGAGGGCCUCUGAGGAGGCCGAGCAGAGCGGGAUGUGAGGGCGCUAGUGCAUGUGGGGUUCUGCAAGUGUUCGUUGUUUAAUGACUGUUGGAAGCUUUCGUGCCAUGUGGUGGUGAGCCCUCUAGGACGGCUGUGUCUAUAUCAUGGGCUCUGCUUGUGGCAUGCUAACUGGACCCCCCACUCCUUUUUCCUUCUCCUUGGUAAUAGAAACACGGAUAUACGUGGUCCACAUGUGACGCUCAUGUAGAAGGAGGCCGACUGUGGCACAGCGGAUAGAGCCAGACAAGCCUGGAUCGGCUCCUGCCACUAACCAGCCUGAAGACCUGGGGCAAUCCAUUUAACCUCUCUGAUGCUCAUUUCUCAUCCGUAAAAUGAGGAGAAGAAUACCUCCACAGGUAGUUGCAAAUUUUAGAGAUUGUGCAUAUAAAGUGGCUGACACAUUGUGCUAAAUAGGUGCUAACUGUAGCUUUGUGUAGACACGAAGAGAUCCUGACUGCACUUACUCAUCCCUGGGAAUUCUCGAGAAUCACGCUACCAGUGAGUUAUCUACUUUUAGACGUUCCUCUGAACUCAGACUUUUGUUUACACUCAGUAUUGUGCGUUUUCCUAAGCACAGGCACUGAUCAGCAGCUUCUCCCGUGCUCCUUAAUCACCUAUGUGAGUCACCUUCCCGAGACGUGGCCCCAAGCUUUCCGACAGACAGCGAGGCUUCUGCUCAGGUUGCUCCCCCUCCAGGACUGCCGGAUUCCCGCCUCUCGAGCCCUGCUCUGCUGAUCCUUCUAAGCCCAGCCCAGGUGCCAGCUGCAGCAAGCCUUUGCAGCACAGCUUAUCCAAAUUCUUACCUCCUCCCCAACUGCCACAGCCCUGUGGCCCUUGCGCUGUGCUUGCGUUUCCGGCAGGGCGCCUCUCACUGAGCCUGCGAGCUCCUUCAGGUCUGGUAUUGGGCCACCCACACCUACCAGAGCCUGGCACGGGGUGUUCGUGCAGCGCUGGCUGAUUGCAAUUCAACAGAGUCAGACGCUGCAGAGAAGGUGAGGAUGAGAAUUAAGAAAAGGUCUCUGGAUUGCCUACUUGGUAACUUUUAAGAAAAUAGAUUCCACAGCAGGGCAGAGCUAGGAAGACUGACUGCAAAGGAGUAAGGAGCGGAUGCCGAGGCAGCUGGGGAGUGCAGGCUGCUCUUGUUGGCAGAAGGUGCGAGCAUUUGUAGAUGACAUGACAUGAUGCCUAGGGUCUGCUUUCAAAUACUCCAGCAAACAAAGAAGGAAAAAUGAGAGGAAAAGAAUAGAAGGGACUUAGGGAAUGUUUGGAAUUUUCCAUAACAGAAAUAGCACAAUGGGAACAAACCAACAAAAACAUCUGGAAGUGAGAAAAAAGGCUGUCGUUAGCCGGACCCUUGGAGUUUGAAAUUGAUACAAUGAGUGUGUACAAGAAACAUGAGAAUGUGAUUCGUUUGCUUUUGCUUACCUAUUUUGGCAUAAUUUCUAGGCAAAUUUGCUAGUUGCUUCUUUUUUUUAAAAGAUUUUAUUUUUCCUUUUUCUUCCCAAAGCCGCCCGGUACAUAGUUGUGCAUUUUUAGUUGUGGGUCCUUCUAGUUGUGGCAUGUGGGACACCAUCUCAGCGUGGCUUGAUGAGCAGUGCCAUGUCCAUGCCCAGGAUCAGAACAGGCAAAACUCUGGGCCGCUGAAGCAGAGCGCGCGAACUUAACCACUUGGCCACAGGGCCACCCCCAAAUUUGCUAGUUUUUAUCUUCAAGAAGUGCACGUGGCCAAUGACUAACAUAACCAUUUGUCUAACAACGUUCAAUACAUUAAACAGUUUUACUUUUCACACUUUUUGCAUUCAUUACAAAUUUUUCAUUUGAUUCUCAUAAUAACCUCAUGCGGUAUGUUUGGCAUAGAUUAUUCCCGUUUGAUAAAUGAAGAAAACUGAAGUUAAGUGACUCACUUAUUUGCGCAUAACUGGUAAAAGGAAAAAUGCACACCGGAAACCAGUACUCCCACCCAACCAUCCCUACCCACUGCCUGCCUCGAGACGCCACCCCCUGCAUUUCGUUAGUAUCCUGAUCACGCUGCACAUCCUGAAAAUUGGGGAAAGAAUUGUUUUCCACCUCUUUUUACAUCUGCCUUCCCCAUGAGGGGUGCUUUGCCGCAGUCAACAUUCAUUCAACAGACAUGAAAAUGGGUAGGACAGCCCUGCCCUUUGGGAAGUUCAGGUGUGAGUAGCCAAGUCAGAUGAGAACAACUAACGUUAUUCGCUCCGCCAGACCUUUGGGGAGGCUGGGAGUUCCACCGAAGAGGAAUUUGGCAAGGUUGCAGACCGUGCUACAUCCGUGUUCUGAUUUACUCUUAUCCUUUACUUUGAAAAAGAUUGGCGUUCUUGGUUCAUAGCGUCAAGCCAGCUUAUUUCAGCCCAAUCUUUGAAUCUGAGCUGUUUCCUUUCAAAUUUUCCAUUUUAAUUUCUGAACAGGCGAACUUCAUUGGCGGUCUCUUCUCAGUUCCUGCUCUUGGCUCUGACUUGCCAUAUCUCGGCAGAAAGCUCAAGCAUGCUUCGGGGUUCAGAGACUGUGUACACUGAGAAUUUGACAUUGAAAUUCAGUAAAAGAUUUGGAGAACUCCAGAAAUGCAGCAUCUCAACUUGACAAAAAUGUGUUUGGUUUCUGUGGUUAAGUGAAAUUACAGCAACCAACAUUUAUUGAAAGCUGACUAUAUGCCAAGUAUUGUUCACAUGCGUUUAUCCAUUUAGCCCUCUCAAG
ensembl:lncRNA